rnacentral:tRNA from 1 species
GGGGGUGUAGCUCAGUAGGUAGAGCGGAGCCUUUGCAAGACUUCAGGUCGCGGGUUCGAACCCCGCUGCCCCCA